GGAGGGGAAGCUGGGUACCCUCUUCUGUGCCUGCGGUUCUCUGACCCACCCACCUGCAGACGCAGGGUGGGGCGCUCACAGUGGGCACGCUGCUCUGGGGCCGGUGGGCGGAUGGUUGGAAGGCGAGGCCGAGGAGCUGGGAGCGCGGUCCACGCGGGGCGUCUCGAGGCGCCCUCGGGCUGAUGUCCUUGGCUCGCCUCCUCGCCCUCGGUCGCCCGGGCUGCGCUCUGCAUCCUAAUCUGGCUCCUUCAGAGCCCCCCUCAGAAACCAAGGGGAGGAAUUCCGCAGUUCACUUCCCACACAACCCAAAUCCUUCAUCUGUCGCCUCGGGAACACCGCAUCCUACACCCCCUGCCGCCAGCUCCUUCGCACGCCAGCCCCGAUUCUUCCCCAGCGGGUUCUGGGCCCUGACGAGGGAACCCCCCUCGCGGGGGGGAGGGAGAAGAGUUGAUUUUAUUAUUAAUAGCUGACGCAGCGCUUGAUAGGUGUCUGCAGGGCAGUCACAGUUCACGCCGCUGGAGCUGCCACACAGCAGCUAGACUUGGGCUAGGAGGUGCUUCGCUGUGGCUUUCAGAUGAAGGCCAUUUCAUAGACUCACUUCCCUCGACAGGAGAAAAGGGGACUUGAAUCCAAAGCUGCUCUUAAACCACAGAUGAUUUGCUCUGCUCGGGAGGACAAAGCGCAGGUCACAGCAAGAUAAAGGGAAUUUUGCCAAUAUAAAGAAGCUACAUUACUUAACAAGGGGAUGGGAAAUUGCAUGGAAUUCAUGAACAAAACAUGAACAUAUUCUCUUCACAAAGAAGAGCAGCUUUCUUCACGGAGUAGGUUGCAGAAUGAAGCAAUUAGUCCACUUUUGUGUUUAACAAUAACGCACCAUCCGCAUGAGCAAAAGCAGAGCAGAAAAAUCACCUCAGUUGUCUCAAGUGGCUGGGCUUCAGGACUUAAGAUAAAUUCCUUCAGCAGAUGCAAAUUACAGUGCAUCACCAGCUGAAAAAAUCAGGCACGUCAUGUCAUUUAAUUAUUUCCAAGGAGUGGACGUUGGCAUGUAGUUUUGAUUGAUACUUGGAAAAGAACCAACAAAACCCUACACGAAACAAACAAACAAAAAAUUAUACUAUAUGGCAACGCACUGAGAGAAGCCAGGUGGAAACUGGUUAGGUCACAGGAUCAGAGCCGCUUCAAGAGGGGCACCCCUCUGCAGAUGCCGUGUUGAUUGGAGGCCCUCUGCAGAUGGCAGGGCCCCUGUGAAAAUCCAGUUCUUUCACCUGAUCCUCCUGCACCACCCAGAGUAUGUCCUGAUUUGGGAGACAGAUACACCUAUUAUAAGGUCCUGUCCCGUGUCUUGCAAGCUGGAGUCUAGAGGUACUGGACAAUCGUUCCCGUUCUGUUAGCUGCUUCCCAUCUCAACCAGUAGAGCCAUGGCCUCUUUGGCCUUCAACCUUAACAUUUAAAUCUUCUCACGGGGGUCCAAUCUGCAUGGAUGGGGGAUGGGAGGAGUCUAAGAAAGCAGAGGCUUGGCUGGAGACGUUUGCAAACAUUAGACGUUUCUCUUCCAUGACUCAUCGGAGGAGAGCAGUCCUCCCUCUUCCUGGAAUGCAGCAAACCCAUGGCCAACUCCUACCCCCACCCCAUCCCCAAAAUAAAACAACCCA
rnacentral:lncRNA from 1 species